rnacentral:rRNA from 1 species
ACGAACGCUGGCGGCAGGCUUAACACAUGCAAGUCGAACGGUUGUAGCAAUACAGCAGUGGCAGACGGGUGAGUAACACGUGGGAACCUUCCUAGGGGUACGGAACAACUCAGGGAAACUUGAGCUAAUACCGUAUACGUCCGUGAGGAGAAAGAUUUAUCGCCCCUAGACGGGCCCGCGUAGGAUUAGGUAGUUGGUGAGGUAACGGCUCACCAAGCCUACGAUCCUUAGCUGAUCUGAGAGGAUGAUCAGCCACACUGGGACUGGGACACGGCCCAGACUCCUACGGGAGGCAGCAGUGGGGAAUAUUGGACAAUGGGCGCAAGCCUGAUCCAGCAAUGCCGCGUGAAUGAUGAAGGCCUUAGGGUUGUAAAGUUCUUUCGCUCGUGACGAUGAUGACGGUAACGAGAGAAGAAGCCCCGGCUAACUUCGU